ensembl:snoRNA
GGGGUGUGCUCAGAGCAGGGGGCCUGAAGAAUGCCUCUUCUGUUUACAACACACCCAACAGGAAUCUGGGGUCAUUGCAACAAGGGACACAGAGCUUGUGUGAACUCCCUACAAACAAAUGCCCUACACAU